rnacentral:rRNA from 1 species
CACCGGCGGCUCGAGUGGUAACCGUUAUUAUUGGGUCUAAAGGGUCUGUAGCCGGCCGGAUAAGUCUCUUGAGAAAUCUGGCAGCUUAACUGUCAGGCUUUCAGGAGAUACUGUCUGGCUCGAGGCCGGGAGAGGUGAGAGGUACUUCAGGGGUAGGGGUGAAAUCUUGUAAUCCUUGAAGGACCACCAGUGGCGAAGGCGUCUCACCAGAACGGACCUGACGGCAAGGGACGAAAGCUAGGGGCACGAACCGGAUUAGAUACCCGGGUAGUCCCUGAGCGGGCUGGCAA